UUAUCCAUAUAAAGGAUAGAAAACAUCAAGAUUCAUCACACACCAUUGGCAAAUUUCAUAUGAAAUAUAAGAUGACAUACCAAAUCAUACUUGUGACAAAUAUACUCAGAACAACCUGGUCCUCAACUUUUGCUUCUUUCUGCUAGUGUAUUGGAAUUUCAAAGAGCAGUCUCCAUCACCAUGGUCCAGCGCUCAGAUCCAAACCAAAAAGCUGGAUGAUGUUUACUACCAUAGAAAGAAACAUAGUCUAGAUGAUGUUAAUUGUUAAACAAAAAAAUGACAAUAUAUUACAUGGGAAAGAACAUGGCAUUCUUGUACACAAGUGAACCGUAACAAAUUAGUGUCCUAGAUUACUUGGGUAUCAUCUUCACACCUCCAUGAGACUCCGGGUUGUAGCCUUAAAGAUAAGUGUAGACAAAGCCUGUCAGAAAAGGUAAUGUUUCUCCAUUUCAGAUUGGGAGAAUCAUGAGAGAGGCAUGAGAUCACAAACAGUAGCACUGGUAAAUAGGCAAAGCCUAUGAUAUCUGAAUGGGGAAAAUUAAUUAUAUCUAUCUGAAAUGCUAUGAGUUGACAAAAAAGAAUCAGUGAGCACAGGAACAUGCAUCAGGUCCUUCGGAUUCACAUGAGAAAAAAACAUCAUGAUUUUAUCUUGGAACAUCAAACAAUCUACACAAUGUAAAAGGGCAUGAUACCAACUCCAUUACAGCUGAACCUACCCGAUUAGCAGUAAGAAAUUGGAUAAUGCAAGUGCAUGAUCACAUCUCAUCAUUCUAUUCUAAAGUAGAUGGCAAUAAUAACAAUAAUAAUACAAGGUCUGCAAGAGUAGAGACCAUUUAUUAUACACGAAGGCACACCGUUCUCUACCACAAAGUAGGGAAACAAAGCACUAAAGGAAGAGUACAUAUUCCUUCCACCAACGGAUGAAAUUUGCAAAACAUUCAAUAGGGGGUGAAAAACAAUGGGAAAUUGUUCUUCUAAGACUGUCAAAAAUGAUUAUGAAUCAUGGGCGUGUGUCCUGCACACAAACACACACACACACAUAUGAUGUAUUUUUAUUAUUUCCAUGCACUACUACUUACUCCUCUAUAGUUUGCACAUGUCAGGUUGUCACAAAUGAUUAUGAAUCAUCCCGGACAUCACAGAUUGAUGCAACCCAAUAAACUAAAUGAUCUCACCAUUGUACUCUAUUGAUCCAUGGAGUGAAACAUCUUCAAGCACACCUAGCAUCAACUGGCUUUGCGAUAGUACUGCUACUGCAAAUAGAAAGUGGCACCGCUAGAACAUCAGUUUUAGAUAUAUAAUUUUGGACUACAAAAGUAUUGCACAGGGUACUCGACAUAAAGCAAAUGUAAGAAAGCAACUUACAUGGAUGUAUAUAACUAUGGUCCAAUAGGUCUCAACUUUAAUUCGCCCAUGUAAGAAAGCAACUUAUAGUUAGAAAAUUACAAGGAAGCAUCAAUCAUGUGCAUAACAAUCAAUAUUGCUGGAUUUCUACCUUUGUAUUAACAUUUCGCAAUUACUGGGUCCAGGUAAAUAGUUGUGCAAGGACAAAAAAUAAUUUGUUCUCACUAUUGGUAGAGCUUAGAGAGAACACCAAGAGGGAGUUCUGGGAAGGCUUGGAAGACAUGGUUAGGAGUGUACCAAUUGGUGAUAAGCUCUUCAUAGGAGGAGACCUCAAUGGUCACGUGGGUACAUCUAACACAGGUUUUGAAGGGGCGCAUGGGGGCUUUGGCUAUGGCAUCAGGAAUCAAGAAGGAGAAGAUGUCUUAAGCUUUGCUCUAGCCUACAACAUUAUUGUAGCUAACACCCUCUUUAGAAAGAGAGAAUCACAUCUGGUGACUUUUAGUAGUGGCCAACACUCUAGCCAGAUUGAUUUCAUCCUCUCGAGAGGAGAAGAUAGGCGUGCGUGCCUAGACUGUAAGGUGAUACCUGGGGAGAGUGUUGUACCCCAGCAUAAGCUGGUGGUUGCUGACUUCCGCUUUCGGAUUCGUGUCCAGCGGGAUAAGCGUGCCAAGGUCGCUAGAACGAAGUGGUGGAAGCUCAAGGGGGAGGUAGCUCAGGUGUUCAAGGAGAGGGUAUUUAAGGAAGGCCCUUGGGAGGAAGGAGGGGAUGCGGACAAUGUGUGGAUGAAGAUGGCGACUUGCAUUCGUAAGGUGGCCUCGGAGGAGUUUGGAGUGUCCAGGGGAAGGAGAAGCGAAGAUAAGGAUACCUGGUGGUGGAAUGAUGAUGUCCAGAAGGCGCUUAAAGAGAAGAAAGAUUGCUUCAGACGCCUAUACCUGGAUAGGAGUGCAGACAACAUAGAGAAGUACAAGAUGGCGAAGAAGGCCGCAAAGCGAGCUGUUGGUGAAGCAAGGGGUCGGGCAUAUGAGGACCUCUACCAACGGUUAGGCACGAAGGAAGGUGAAAGGGACAUCUAUAAGAUGGCUAAGAUCCGGGAGAGGAAGACGAGGGAUAUUGGCCAAGUCAAAUGCAUCAAGGACGGAGCAGGCCAACUCUUGGUGAAGGACGAAGAGAUUAAGCAUAGAUGGCGGGAGUACCUCGACAAGCUGUUCAAUGGGGAGAAUGAGAGUUCUACCAUUGAACUGAAUGACUCCUUUGAUGAGACCAGCAUGCGUUUUGUGCGGCGUAUUCAGGAGUCUGAGGUGAAGGAGGCUUUAAAAAGGAUGAAAGGAGGCAAGGCGAUGGGCCCUGAUUGUAUCCCCAUUGAGGUGUGGAAAGGUCUCGGGGACAUAGCGAUAGUAUGGCUAACCAAGCUUUUCAACCUCAUUUUUCGGGCAAACAAGAUGCCAGAAGAAUGGAGACGGAGUAUAUUAGUACCAAUCUUCAAGAACAAGGGGGAUGUUCAGAGUUGUACUAAUUACCGUGGAAUUAAGCUGAUGAGCCAUACAAUGAAGCUAUGGGAGAGAGUCAUUGAGCACCGCUUAAGAAGAAUGACAAGCGUGACCAAAAAUCAGUUUGGUUUCAUGCCUGGGAGGUCGACCAUGGAAGCCAUUAUCUUGGUACGACAACUUAUGGAGAGAUAUAGGGAGCAUAAGAAGGACUUGCAUAUGGUGUUCAUUGACUUGGAGAAGGCCUAUGAUAAGAUACCGCGGAAUGUCAUGUGGUGGGCCUUGGAGAAACACAAAGUCCCAGCAAAGUACAUUACCCUCAUCAAGGACAUGUACAAUAAUGUUGUGACAAGUGUUCGAACAAGUGAUGUCGACACCGAUGACUUCCUGAUUAAGAUAGGACUGCAUCAGGGGUCAGCUUUGACCCCUUAUAUUUUUGCAUUGGUGAUGGAUGAGGUCACAAGGGGUAUACAAGGAGAUAUCCCAUGGUGUAUGCUCUUUGCGGAUGAUGUGGUGCUAGUUGACGAUAGUUGGACGGGGGUAAAUAGGAAGUUAGAGUUAUGGAGACAAACCUUGGAAUCAAAAGGGUUUAGGCUUAGUAGAACUAAAACCGAGUACAUGAUGUGCGGUUUCAGUACUACUAGCUGUGAGGAGGAGGAGGUUAGCCUUGAUGGCCAGGUGGUACCUCGGAAGGACACCUUUCGGUAUUUGGGGUCAAUGUUGCAGGAGGAUGGGGGUAUUGAUGAAGAUGUGAAACAUCGAAUCAAAGCCGGAUGGAUGAAGUGGCGCCAAGCUUCUGGCAUUCUCUGUGACAAGAGAGUGCCAACAAAAGCUAAAAGGCAAGUUCUACAGGAUGGCGGUUCGACCCGCAAUGUUGUAUGGCGCAGAGUGUUGGCCGACUAAAAGGCGACAUGUUCAACAGUUAGGUGUGGCGGAGAUGCGUAUGUUGAGAUGGAUGUGUGGCCACACGAGGAAGGAUCGAGUCCGGAAUGAUGAUAUACGAGAUAGAGUUGGGGUAGCACCAAUUGAGGAGAAGCUUGUCCAACAUCGUUUGAGAUGGUUUGGGCAUAUUUAGCGCAGGCCUCCAGAAGCUCCAGUGCAUAGCGGACGGCUAAAGCGUGCGGAGAAUGUCAAGAGAGGGCGGGGUCGACCGAUUUUGACAUGGGAGGAGUCCGUUAAGAGAGACCUGAAGGAUUGGAGUAUCGACAAAGAGCUAGCUAUGGACAGGGGUGCGUGGAAGCUUGCUAUCCAUGUGCCAGAGCCAUGAAUUGGUUGCGAGAUCUUAUGGGUUCCACCUCUAGCCUACCCCAACUUGUUUGGGACUAAAGGCUUUGUUGUUGUUGUUGUUGUUGUUGUAUUGGUAGAGCUUAGAGAACAAAAUAAUGCAGAAAACAGAAACAUGGGACUGUACAUAUUCUACAGAAACACACCACUACACCAUGUAGAUACAACACAAAUCAAUUAGAAGGAGCAACUACUGCUCUGUUUAUAAGAGAAAGAAAUCAAAUAAUGUUGCAAGACAAUAAAAAAUGAUGGUGAGAACAAAAAUGCUAUUGUUACAUUAUGUCAUUCAAGGAAAUACCCCAAGAGCUACUUACCUAAAAGGCAUGUGUGCCUCGCCGCUUGAAGAAUUUAGAACAUUAGUUCAUGAAGCAAAGGAUACAUGAUCUGUUGUCCCUGCUCUUGAUCAGCACUGGAAGUAGCCACUGACACCAUAAAGAUAUGUUAACAAAUAUUGCUAGAGGUUGUACUUGUGCAAGAACUAAACAUGACAUGCCUGCUGAUAUUGAGCACAUGAACUGGAUAGAUUCUAGGAUGAACAGAUUUUUUUUAAUUCAAAGCAACUUCAUAAAAAUUGAAAUACAACCAGAUCUGUCAUUAACAGGUUUAUGAGAUUAUGGUAUGCCUUCUCUUUUAUAUCUGUCAUGAUAAACCAAUAAAUAAUGGGUACAUGCCAUCUGGCAUAAAUAUGCGUGAACUAAAGUAUUUAUGUUCACUGAAACUAAAACAUGAGAGAAAAGCACCUGGUUGUUAUUUGUUAGCAAUCCAUCAAACAACAACAUAUCCAAAUAAAUUUCAGUGCACAUAUAUCAUUAAGAGCAGGUCACUGUGCUUUUUAUUUCCUUUGAUGGUUGACACUAUGAAGAAGUCACAGUUCAAGUUCUAUUAACAUAAGGCAGUAAUUCAAACAGCAUGUAGAAGCCUUCCCAAAAAAGGCCUCUAAAAAAUAAUCAGCCAGACUACAUGUACUGAACAUAAUAACUAACCAGCAACUACAGAGGAACCAAAAUAUUUAGGAAAUAAGAGUAACCUAUGACAUUCCCAUUCAACAUUCUUUUAUACUGUUAAGAAUGACAUUGGUUACUUACAAGUAAUUACAACGGUGCAAGCAUCGAACGACUCUGCACCAGAAUAGAUUCACAAUCAAAUUGUUGCGUUGUCUAGCGCAUAAUCAGAUGCAACUAACGAAUUGAGUAGCACAUGCAGCAAGAUGGAGAACUCACACAUCAAACAGAGGUGAGGUAUGCAGCUUGGGUAAAACACAAAAGGAACCAGCAAGGCAAAUUAAAAACGGUGAACUGUUAUACAAUACAUAUAUAUAGGGUCACUACAUAGAGCAAGGCAAGUAAGACAGAGUCACUACAUAGAGCCACAUGCUUUGCAUCUGUUUCCCCCGGAAACAUAAUUAUUAUAUACCACUUGACGGUAAAAAAAAUCAUAGAGGCUUUAUGAUUAUCACUUUAUCAGAGCCAUGUCAUGCAUUAAUUUCUUAGUAUACACACAUUCAGAUCGUCAAACCAGGACGAAUAGGUGGGUCAAAUGCUUCAUGGAAUACAGCUUGUGGUAGCCCUACCUUCAAAAAAAUGAGACAGAAUGAACUUCAACAGUGGCGGUCAUUCCAUGGGGGGGGGGGAGUAAUCCUACAGUAGUUUGUGGUCUCUUAAAUGGUCACCUCUUUUUGUAAGCACUGGGCCAUGGGGAGAAAAAAUUAAGCAUUUACUGUUAAACAUAUGUGCAUUUCUUCAGUCCAAAGAACAAACAAACGUUAUCUUCUUCAUUUCUUCAUUUGCUUAUAUAAAUUGAGGAACAUGCUUAUAACCGUAUGAAAUAGAAGCAAAUAUAUUUGAACUAUAUCCAGUUGAAAAUAGGAGGACACGGUCUGCCACACCAUACUUGUCCUGGCCUGAGGAUGUUCGAUGCGGUGCAGGCCAAAAAUAGCAUAUAUAUACGAAGAUUUUCGAGUAGCAUAGUAAUAUGGUAAAAAAAUGGUACAUUUUGUAUUAUGAUAUGGCAGACAAACAAAGGGAUUGUGGUUAGCCAAGAGCACCUAAAGGCACAUAUCAUAUAAAAAAUAAUCCUACAGUACUUCAUGAUCUCUUAGGUCAUUUUCAUAUUAUUUAGAAUCAACAAAUGAUAUAGAAUUUUGACCAUCAGAUGUCUAGACCAUAAUAGCUUUGAAAACUCGCUGAACACGAGACUUUUAUGUUAUUUUAUUUCCAUUCUGUUAUUUGAACUGGUCCUUGAUUCAUUUGUAUCCUUCUCUAUCAGAUGUCAAUAAAGCGAUAGAACUAAUAAAAUGGAUGUUAGCUCGAUCAGAUGCUCACAUAGAAAUAAAGUAAUGGACUUCAACACAUAAAUUCAUGCCAAAGCAAAAGCAUUACAAUGGUACCCGUUAUAAACGGAGAGAAACCCUGUUAUACCUGGAUAUAUUUUGGAGCGCCUCAACGCGCUUCCUGACCUUGGCUCCAGGCUCUCGAGCACUCGAUGUGCCAGACCACCAAACCCUGUAGCGUAUUCUGCACAACCACGACAUUGGAUUAGCAUGACUCCACCAUGAAAAUAACCCAAGGCGUCCAAAUGAACAAGAGUCAUCUGCGCAGAACACCAGAUCUCAAAUACGAUGCACCAGCAUGAUCAGUUCUUGCUGCUCAUUACUUCUGGUGACUAAAUCAGAACAAGGACCAAACAAAAUAUCACAUGUUUUCCAUGUAAAUAUAUAGUUGUAUACUGACUUCCGACAAAUCUCAGAGAUUUCUACUCAUCAUCACUUGCAGACAAACUAUAAUUAAUACAAAGGAACAAUUUAACAACUGACGUACUGAGCCAACCAAAUAGACUCGGGAAUAUGUGCCCAAGUACUUAGUCCAAGCAUGAUUUUGUUUCUAAAACCUCCUCUACAAGCACUUUCCCUCAAAAAUCCUAGUAAACGUAUAGAAUCAAUGGGAAACCUCACCUUAAUCAACUGCAUGAGGUUGGCCUUGUCCUCGAACCCGAGCUCUACAUCAAAGCAAUCAAAGAACAAAACUUACUCAGUUGUUUCUCGGAAAAAGGAAAAGAUACAAAAGUAUACAUUCUUAUGAUCAUUUAGGUUACGAAACUUAUUUAGAGGCAUCAUGUCAAAUACAAUAGUACAUCUGCACUAAGAAUUGCAAAACAUGCAGUCUAGUGCCCAACACCUCGGUACUUAAACUGGUAGUCGCAAACCAAAAGUCCAAAAAAACAUUGUAUGAGAAUUUAUUUAUACAAGGCAGAACCAAACAGCCACACCGCGGACCUGCAGUGGCUAAGGUUCGCCUCAGGGCAGAACCGCGAGUUGAUGUCAAUCAACAUUAGUGUUAUAUAUCAAAGUAAGUAAGCUGGCCAUUAAUAAAACAUGGAGCUAAAGUAGAUCAAGUGGGCUACCUUAAUGCCUUCUUGAUUCCAACAGAUCCUGUAUCCAUUUUGAGGCCAUCAAGUAUUGAAUCAAACUCCUACAGUACUGAGAAAUCAAAUCAAACUCCUACAAUACUGAGGCCAUCAAGUAUUCCAACAGAAGUCAAACUAUAUCAGCAUCUUAUGGCUCUAAAGCCAAGAUUGUUUUUUCUCUCCUCACACAUGUAUUCUUGCUACCAAAUCUAAAUCCAGGUGUCCCUAUUGUACUGCAACGUACAGUUCACUGCAAUUGUAGAUGGAGAAUCUCCUACAACUCACUUAUGAAAUGAGAAUUCAAUGUUUUUAGCAAAGUUUGAGAAAGCGCUAGGCGUUAAUUAUGCGUUUGGCCACCUACUUGCGCUUUUCUAGCUUAGGCGUGAUUAGGCGCAAUUAGGCGCAAUUAUGCGUUUUCUAUAUAAUUGUAUGGAUAUGGGCAAAAAAGAGCAGUUUGACAUAAAAAAGUGCUAGAAUGUAAACUGGAGGUAGUUUAUAACCUUGUUCUCUCUCCAAUAUGUUGCCCCUGCCUCUUUGUAUGUUCUACUCUGAUCGUCUCCCUCCAAUGCAUUGUGCAACAGCUAAAUACAUCAUAGAGAAGAUGACAAGAUGUUAGCAGCAGCAACCAACAAGCAAGGAGCAACCGAGCAAGCAAAGCAUUAUAUAUCGGAUUCACCAUUCAUAUAUGUAAAAUGUAAUGUAAUAGGCAGAACAUAUCACAAGUUCACAACUUGAAUGAGCAAUCAAAGCAAACUAGCAAAGUAGCAAACAGGCAAUGUAAUAGGCAGAACAUAUCACAAGUUCACAACUUCACAAGCAAGCAUAUUACAUAACAAAUAAAAGUCUUAAACUUGCUUAGUGCUACCAAACCAAAGUACCACGACCACGAUCCACAAUAGUCUCACCCGUGAAUACUCCAUCAUAGUCUCUUACAUAACAAAUAACAAACAAAAGACAAAUGCAUGAAUGCAAAUGCAUGAUAACUUGAUCACUUAAUGGCAUGGUGCUGCCAACCAUCAUGCAAUGAGCCAAUGAUCACUAGCUCAAAUGCUCAAUGCCUCUCAAUCAUCCUCAUACUCAAUCUCAUCUUCAUCCACUAUCUCAUCAUCAUGAUCGGAUUCAAACUCCUCCUCCUCAAGGUCUCUCACUCUUGCACUCCUCCGAAGUUGGAGUUGCUCUUGUGCUCCAUUGCUUCACCAAGUAGAUCCCAUGAUAUCCCCGUACCCGGAUGAACAUCUCCAUCCUCCUCAUCAAGAUAAACAACACUUGCAUAAUCAUCCCCUCCUUCAAAUAGAAAUCCUUGAGCUUCGGUAGCAUCGGUGCUAAUGAGCACAUCCCAUUUCUUCUUCUCUAGGAGCUUUUGUUUCCUAGACAACAUCCUAUUAUUGAACCUUAUGAAGACCAAAUUGUUGCAUCGCUCCAUUGUGAGCCUAUUUCUUCUCUUGGUAUGUAUCUACAUAUUAAACAUCAUUUUGCAUGAGCAUAUUUAAAAACAAAAACGAGAGACAAGACAAAUGAGGAGACAAAAUUGAAAGAGAUAUACCGAUUCAAAUGCACUCCAGUUUCUUUCACAACCAGAAGAGCUAGAGGUCAGAGAGAUGAUUCUCAUAGCCAUUUCUUUCAAAUUUGGUGUUUCUCCUCCAUAAAGCUUCCACCAACCAACUAGAAAUCGGAGAACAUAUAGCAGUAGCAAGUUAGUAGUAGCAGCAGCAACAAGGUAGCAGCAGCAAAAAACAGCAGUAGCAUGGUAGCAGCAGCAUCAAGGUAGGAGCAGCAGUAGCAUGGUAGCAGCAAGAAAAGAGUAGCAACUAGUGGGCAGGAGCAAGCAAGUAUACCGGGGCUGUAGCUUUUAUUUUCACAUGCUUUUGCAAGCUUCUUUCCAAAAGUUCCUUCUUUGUUUUCAUAUUUCAGAAACUCGUCAUUGACAACCAGCAUGCAAGUAUCAUGAUCAUUUGCAUAGUAUUGUUCAGCACAUUCCUGAAAUCCUUCAUUUGCAGUGGUAAAGACGGAGCUAUCUGCAUAACUGUAGUGUGGGUUCAACACAUAUGCGGCCAUGUGCAGUGGAGAAUCUAGCCUUCCAUUCAUUUUCUUUUCAACAAUGCCCAUAGUAUCUUUGUAGUUCCUCUCCAAGUUGUUAAAUGCCUCCUUCAUCUCCCUCUUUGCAUUCACCAACUCUCCAUACAACCAAGCCAUUGAUGGCUUAAUAUCCCCAUCAACCAAACGAAGAACUCUCACCAAUGGCUCAAACACCUUUAUGCAUAGGAGCACACCUUUCCAAAAGUUAGCAUCCAUCACCGUUGCCUUGCAUCCUUGCCUUUCUUUGUUUUCACAUGACUCAUAUCUUCCCAAGCUCUUUCAACCACCAUAUACCUUAAAGCAUCUUUCUUCUCCAACAAACUUUGCAAUGUGAGAAAAGCGGAAGCAAAUCUAGUCACCCCCGGCCUUAUGAUAUCUCUCCUUUUUGUAGCAACCCUCAUCAAUGCCAAAGUCUUGUGAUGUGCAUAGAUGAAGAUGGUGAGGUUCUUUGCUUGAUCAAUUAUUGUUUUGAAUCUCUUGAGGCUGCCAAUUCAUUGGAGCAUCAAGUUGAUAGUGUGAGUUGCACAAGAGCUCCAAAAGAUCUUCGGCCUCUUCUCAAGCAACAUUUUCUUGGCUCCCAUGUUAUUGGAAGCAUUGUCGGUCACCACUUGCAUCACAUGCUCCGCCCCUACCUCCUCAAUUGUGCUGUCCACUAGCUGAAAUAUGACUUCACUUGUAUGUGACACAUCAGAUGUUUCCUUUGAUUUGAGAAAACUUGUCCCCCCACUACAAUGCAUGCACAAAUUCAUUAUGCUCCUCCUCUUCAUGUCCGUCCAUGCAUCUGUCAUGAUGGUGCACCCAAGCUUUAUCUUCUCCUUCUCACGUUCAUCUAACAAACUCUUGGUCCUUGCAUAUUCAUCACUCAACAACUUCUCCCUAAGCUCAUAUUGAGUAGGAGGCUCAUAUCCAGGACCAAAUUUGCCUAUGGCCUCACACAUUUGACAAAACUCAUCAUUGUCAAGAGCAUUAAAUGGUAUGCCUACAAGCAAAGGAACAAAACAAUGCAAUCAAGCAAUCAUUUCAAGCACAAGCAAGCAAAGAAAUGAAGGACUUCAGAAUUACCAUGUGAAUACACCCAUCUAGCAACAUAUGGUGAACAUUGACCUCUUCUCUCCUUGAUGUGCUUCCAACACAAACAGAUGAUGUGCUUCCAACACAAACAGAUUCUCUACCAUCCCUUGCUUCAUUUAGGGCUGUAACAUGCACAUCAGCCCUCACUUCUGCCGUAUGUUUUUUCUUCGCCACCUUCUUUGCCUCAUAUGCAUCAAGAGCUCUCUGGCAUAUUGCUUUAGCCUCCGGAGUUGAUCUUAAACAUGAAAGAACGCUUGAGGUGGUGCCUGUGAUGUGUAGCUUGAAACGGUUAAUUCCUUCGGUGCUAAUAUGGCCACAAAAGUCACACUUCACCCUCGCCUUGUUUGUGAGAUCACAUAGUUUCCCAUAGUUCCAUCCAACAUCAUUGGAUUUCCUCUUAAGAGCUAUCGGCCUUUCGGACUCUGUUUUGGCGGUGGUGUUCUCUGAUGUUGACAUCCUACAACAACAAGUCAACAACACAAAUUAGCAGCUAGUAGCCACAGACAGCAGUAGCAAACAAGCAACAGCAACUAGCAUUAGCAACAAACAAGUAGCAGCAGCAGCUAGCAUCAGCAUCAGCUAGCAUCAGCAGCAAACAAGUAGUAGCAGCAUCAAACAGCAGUAGCAGCUAGCAACAGCAAAUUAACAGCAACAGGCAACAACACCAAGUACUACUACUUUUACUCUACUAGUAAAGAACACCACUAACUACCACCAACAGCAGCUAACAUCACUUCAGCGGCAACUAGUAGCACCAGCAAAGCAGCAACAGAUAGAAGCUAGUAGUAGAAGGUAGGCUCGAUGGGGAUCUGGGGGCUCACCUGCCUGAAGAGAAGAAGACCAGGCCGCGAGAUCCACGGCGGGAUGAGGUCGAAGGCCAGGAACCGGAGGUGCGGGGGAGGGCCCGAGCAGGAGAGGCGCGAGGAGGAGCUUCAGAUCCACGGCGGAGGGCGUGCUGCUGCCGGCGGCCCCAAGGAGAGUCCGGCGACGCGAGGAAUGGAGGAGAGGAGACCCUAACCCUAACACGGGCUUGAUUUUGACCCUCUGCCUUUCAUCCCGUGGCUCCCUGCCUCUUUAUCCCGAUUCCCCGAUGGAUCCCCUCUCGUCAUUCUGCGCCAUUAAGCGCCCGUUCUGCGCUGUUCCGCGCGCUUAAGCUCGCCUCAGCGAGAAAAGCGCUCCGCCUAGGCACGCGUCGCGCCUUUACGAGCGCACAUGGCCUAUGCGAGGCGGUAGGCCAGCGCCUUGCGCGUAGGCGCGCAUAAGCGCUCGAUUAAGCGCGCUUUCCCGAACUUUGGUUUUUAGAAGUUCUACUACCAUCUAUGAACCUGUUCGACAACAAAUAAUUAUCAAGAUUACAUAAAACAUAAGUAAAAAAAAUAUAGGGGAGGGGGAGGUAAAAUAAGCUACCUGAACACCCAAGAAAUCUGCACUGCUUGUUGAAAGGCGAGUCAGCAAUCAACACCAUGAUCUGUACUUGCAAAACAAAUAAGAAAGCAUACAAACAAAUUAGUGUCAAUCGGGUGAAGAGAAAGGAAAAAAGAUAAAGAUGGAAGAAGAAACAGAAACUGGAAUUUCUAAGGUUCGAGAGCCGGCUGCGUGCCCUCCGCGUGGUCAAACAAAACAAUGACUAAUUUACCUUAUUACUUUUCAGAAAAGUUGUACCAUACUGAAGUAC
rnacentral:lncRNA from 1 species